rnacentral:lncRNA from 1 species
UAGAAGUCAGGUCGGAUUAAGCCAUAGUACGGAAAAAACUAUGCUACCUGUGAGCCCCGUCCAAGGACGUUAAAAGAAGUCAGGCCAUCAUAAAUGCCAUAGCUUGAGUAAACUGUGCUGCCUGUAGCUCCACCUGAGAAGGUGUAAAAAAUCUGGGAGGCCACAAACCAUGGAAGCUGUACGCAUGGCGUAGUGGACUAGCGGUUAGAGGAGACCCCUCCCUUACAAAUCGCAGCAACAAUGGGGGCCCAAGGCGAGAUGAAGCUGUAAUCUCGCUGGAAGGACUAGAGGUUAGAGGAGACCCCCCCGAAACAAAAAACAGCAUAUG